UUUUUUUUUUUUUUUUUGUAGAUCAGGAAUUAUUGUGCAGAGAAAUUGCUUUGGGAAAGAUCUCCAGUGUUCUCCUUAAUUGCUGCAAGUAAUAAAAUGCUUCCUGCUCCAGAAAAAAGAAAACAAAUAGAAAUCAUUGUGCAGUUUUUAGAGGAAUAGAGGGAAAAAUCGCAAAGAUCAUUUUGUGGGCUACCUUUGAUACUUUUUAGUAUUUUGUGCUGCAAAUGAAAAACAUUUCUGACACAGAAUGAAAGAUGCGAAAGGCAGUUUGGAUGUUUGGGGGAGUUCCCCUUGUGGCUUAGUAGAAACGAACCCAGCUAGUAUCCAUGAGGAUGCUGGUUUGAUCCCUGGCCCCGCUCAGUGGGUUAAGGAUCCAGCAUUGACAAAAGCUGAGGUGUAGGUUGCAGAUGUAGUUCCGAUCUGGUGUGGCUGUGGCUGUGGUGUAGGCUGGCAGCUGUAACUCCAGUUCCACCCCUAGCCUGGGAACUUGCAUAUGCCGGACCUGCAGCCCUAAAAAUAUCUAUAUGUAGUUUUUGGAGAUGGCAUUGUUUGGUAUAUUUAGGUAAACAUUUGCAACAUGUACAUCUAAUUACAUUGUGCAGACUGUAUUUAAUCAUACUGUGUUUCUGUGUACUUGGUAUUUUCUUUGAAACACUUAAGUGUUCUCAGCACACAGAAAUAAAAAAGGAGCAGGAGUUCCCGUUGUGGCACAGUGGAAACGAAUCCACCUAGGAACCACGAGGUUGUGGGUUUGAUCCCUGGCUUCGCUCAGUGGGUUAAGGAUCCUGUGUUGUCAUGAGCUGUGGUGUAGGUCAGACACAGCUCAGAUCCCGAAUUGCUGUGCCUGUGGUGUAGGCUGGCAGCUGUACCUCCUAUUGGGCCCCUAGCCUGGGAAACUUCAUAAGCCUCAGUCAGGUGUGACCUUAAAAAGCUAAUCAAUCAGUCAAUCAAUCAAUAAAAAUAAAAUAGUGAAUUGAUGGAAGUGUAAAGUACUGUAUUGUGAUUAUCACACAGCUUAUCAACUGCCAAAGAAUCACACUGAAUGUCUCAUAUACACACCAUUAUUAUUUAUCAAUUAUACCUCAGUUAACCUGGAAAGGAAAGUGGGAGGUGUGCAAAGCCUGCCUCCUUUGAGUGCUGCUUAACCCAGACUUCACUUUAGAUCCAUGAGGUGUUUUGCAUGUACAUGUUCUGUGCCCUCUGACCAGGGAUUCCCCUUCAUGCAGUCAUGUGGGAUCCAACAUCAAUAUUUAAGGUGCCCCAGGUGAUUCCAAUCCGGAUCCAUCCUUGAGCAGCAACGCUCCGCGUCCUUCCAAUCCUGGGGGCUGGUAUCUGGGCUGAGGGCGAGGGGGCUCUGCUCUGCACGGGGGAUGGAGCAGGGCUGGUCUGUGGCCUGCAGGGGGUUGUGGGGUCCAGCUGAGGUGCCCAAGGUUGAGUGUAAGUGAGGGCCUCACCAGGAGGGGAGCUUAAUCAGAAGGAAAGUUGUUGGAAAACUCUCCUGUUGGUCUCCGUGGGAGUUUCUUGUCCUGAGUGCCUCCUGGGACAGCGGACCCCAGAGGCCUGUCUCUUCCACAUGGUGCGGUCUCCCCUGUGCAUGUGGUUGUGGCACAAGAACGCUGCCAAGACCAGCUCAGCAGGUUGGGGCUGAAGAACAGGUGCUGUGAAACUUCAGGAAAAAAAGUUAACAUAAAACAAGACACAGAGACAUUUAUCUUGAGUAAAGGUGGGAACCGGGGAACUCAAGGUCUCAGGGACUAAGAGCCCCACCUCAAGAAACCACACUGCUUUUUUGUGCUCUUGAGGAUGACGUCAAGUGAGGAGGGGGCUUUGGGUGCAGGAUAUAGGUUUUUUUAAGUUAUUUUAAAAGUCACAGAGCCGGUUGCUGAUUUAGCUUUUAUUCUGACCUUUAGGCUUUUAACAGUCAUUAGCAUUGAGGAAGCUUGGCGUCGGCUCUCUAGGCAUAGCAUUCUGGAGAAUCACCCUUGUGCUUCUGCAGACAGCGGCGUGCCUAUCUGCGGCAACCUGGCUGGCAUGCCUAGGUUUGCACCUCGGUUCUCCUUGCUCAUGCAUCUCCUGCUAACGACCCUCAUAAACCCCUCGGGGCCAUGAGGUUCAUCUUCCUCUUAUUCUUUAGAGGACAUAGCAUGCUGUGCACACGGCAGGCCUGGACCAAGGCAUUCUGUCCUCAUUCAGCUGACCCCAUGCAUGGCUUAUGCCUUUAGGUCUUUGUGCUUAUGCUUAAGUCAUUUACCGGCACUGCGACUGUUUUCCAAGCAGGAAGAUGGGGUGAAGGAAAGCAGGACAAGAUGCAGUUUUCAGCAUAGAAACCAGAAGCAAAGAGGCUAAGAAAAGAUUGCGGAAACCUGUCUCACGGCAGAACGCAGUAUGUUGAGUCUAAGCAUUAAGCAGCAUCUUUUUAACUUUCAAGUUUGAUUUCUAAAGACGCAUGUUGCCUGAGCAAGAAGCCCGGCGGGGGAGGAGGAGGAAGAGGAAGGAAGACCAGGAGUCAGGAAUGGCUGUUUCUCAGGUAAAGUUAAUUCCUCAGGGAUUCUCCGUCUGUCCUUCCUGAGAUGCCCUCCUUUGGCCUCACUCAUCUUGUCAGACCCUGUCCCUUCCCAGUCACCCGGGGCCUCCCCUCAGGGCCUGUCCCCUCCACUUAUGACCCAGUGACCUGGAGCUUGUGAAGAGGCCCCCUUGGGCAUCGUCCUGGGCUUCACACCCGUGGACUGGAGACAUAGCGUCGGGCAGGGAUUGGGCCCCAUCUGGAUGCACAGUCUGCGGUCACCCAGGAUCAAGAAGCUGCACUCCAAAGUCAGGAGUUUUUGAAUCCGACCAGGAACCGUGAGAUUACAGGUUCAAUCCCUGGCCUCGGUCAGUGGAUAAAGGGUCUGGUGUUGCCGUGAGCUGUGGUGUAAGUUGCAGGCACAGCUUGGAUCUGAUAUUGCUGUGGUGGUGGUGUAGGCUCUAGCUCCAAUUGGACCCCUAGCCUGGGAACCUCCAUGUGCUGCAGGU
ensembl:lncRNA